UACGUAGGGGGCAAGCGUUGUCCGGAUUUAUUGGGCGUAAAGAGCGUGUAGGCGGUCAGGUAGGUCCGUUGUGAAAACUCGAGGCUCAACCUCGAGACGCCGAUGGAAACCCCCUGACUAGAGUCCGGAAGAGGAGAGUGGAAUUCCUGGUGUAGCGGUGAAAUGCGCAGAUAUCAGGAGGAACACCAAUGGCGAAGGCAGCUCGCUGGGACGGUACUGACGCUGAGGCGCGAAAGCGUGGGGAGCAAACAGG
rnacentral:rRNA from 1 species